CAGUAGCCGCGGUAAUACGUAGGUGGCAAGCGUUGUCCGGAAUUAUUGGGCGUAAAGCGCGCGCAGGUGGUUUAAUAAGUCUGAUGUGAAAGCCCACGGCUCAACCGUGGAGGGUCAUUGGAAACUGUUAAACUUAAGUGCAGGAGAGAAAAGUGGAAUUCCUAGUGUAGCGGUGAAAUGCGUAGAGAUUGGAAAGAACACCAACGGCGAAAGCACUCUGCUGGGCCGACACUGACACUGAGAGACGAAAGCUAGGGGAGCAAAUGGGAUUAGAUACCCGCGUAGUCCCUGUCUCUUAUAC
rnacentral:rRNA from 1 species